UACGUAGGUCGCAAGCGUUGUCCGGAUUUACUGGGCGUAAAGAGCGCGCAGGCGGCUGGUCAAGUCCGAUGUGAAAUCUCCCGGCUCAACUGGGAAACUGCAUCGGAAACUGAUCGGCUUGAAGAUGGGAGAGGGUAGUGGAAUUCCCGGUGUAGUGGUGAAAUGCGCAGAUAUCAGGAAGAACACCCGUGGCUAAGGCGGUUCUCUAGUACGGUACUGACGCUGAGACGCGAAAGCGUGGGGAGCGAACAGG
rnacentral:rRNA from 1 species